rnacentral:rRNA from 1 species
GUGUCAGCAGCCGCGGUAAUACGAGAGGCCCAAACGUUAUUCGGAAUUACUGGGCUUAAAGAGUUCGUAGGCGGCGCAGAAAGUAGGGUGUGAAAGCCCUCGGCUCAACCGAGGAAUUGCGCUCUAAACUACUGUGCUUGAGGAAUCUAGAGGUGAGCGGAACUGAUGGUGGAGCGGUGAAAUGCGUUGAUAUCAUCAGGAACACCGGAGGCGAAGGCGGCUCACUGGGGAUUUUCUGACGCUGAGGAACGAAAGCCAGGGGAGCGAACGGGAUUAGAUACCCCAGUAGUCC